rfam:Myotis lucifugus cont2.2037, whole genome shotgun sequence.
CUCGGGGGGGGGGGGUUGUCUCAGCCUGGAUUGCAAGAGGGUGCAGGCCUGGCUGAGGGACCCCACUGGUGCAUG